GAAAGGCGAAACGUAAUGUGAAUCGCAACUAACAGUGAAUCAUCGAAUCUUUGAACGCAGGCCGCGCUUGGCAUAUCACUCGUGUUAUCGCAGAGCAUUUACGUAUGAGUGUCAGCCUAAUAUACUUUUGGUUUAAUGGUAUUUUGUUAUACUAUUGAAUUCAUUAUGCGAGUAUCAUUAUUGGUACACGCGAAUAUCAAAUUUGUAUGUCUGGCCUCAUAUGUGAAAGGUUACCCGCUGGAUUUAAGC
rnacentral:misc_RNA from 1 species